rnacentral:rRNA from 1 species
UACGUAGGGGGCUAGCGUUGUCCGGAAUCAUUGGGCGUAAAGCGCGUGUAGGCGGCCAGAUAGGUCUGCUGUGAAAACUCGAGGCUCAACCUCGAGCUGUCGGCGGAAACCAUCUGGCUAGAGUCCGGAAGAGGAGAGUGGAAUUCCUGGUGUAGCGGUGAAAUGCGCAGAUAUCAGGAAGAACACCUAUGGCGAAGGCAGCUCUCUGGGACGGUACUGACGCUGAGACGCGAAAGCGUGGGGAGCGAACAGG